UCUCGUCCUCCGCCCCGGGUGAAGGUCACCGGAAGCUGCUCCGGGGAGGGCACGCACUGUUGAGGCAAAACCGGCCUGGGCUUGCCGUGUUAGCCCUCGGGUGGGUUCUGUCGCCUGCAGGAAACAUUCAGCUCCGGGAUACACGCACCCUCAGCCUGAGCUUCUUGCUUCCUGCCUCAGUCUCCCUCCUCAGGUGUCAAGCCUCUCAGCCGUGGCGUGACUUGUGUCUCCGGGGACUGCCUCUGUGCCCCAGAUCAUCAGCUCCACAAGGAUUUAAUUAUUAAUUUGAGAGAGAGCGCUCGUAAGUGUACGGCUGGAUGAAUUUGCAGAAGCUGAACAUACCCAUGGACCCAGCACCCAGAAGUCCCCUUGUGACACCCUCACUACCCCCAGAGAAACCUCUCUCCCGACCCCCAAACCCCUGGGCAACUUCGGCCUGCUUCUAAGCUGACCUUGGCUGGAGCCACGCACUGUGUGGCCUUCUGUGUCUGGCUUCUUCUGCUCAAUACCAGACUGCGUGAAGGAAGAGAGUUUCAACUAAUGCGUCCAAUAUGUGAACUCCUGGAACCCCUCCAAACCUGCCCCUCCUCCAGUCUGCCCCGCAACUGCCUCCUUCCAGAAUUGGGCAAACCUCAGCCCUACCAGCUCUUACCCAGCAGCCAAUCGAUCAGAAAAUGCUGUCACUAUGCCUGGGAAUCACCCCUCGCCCGCCCUGUUGCUGUGACCUGAUCUGAGCCAACAUUAUCACUGCUGGGAUACUUGCAAUGGCAUCUGGUCUCACCCCCUUCAUGCUAUUCCCAGUACAGUAGCCAGUGAUUUUUAUUAAAAAGUAAGUUAGAUUAUGUCACAUUCCUACCUUCACCCUGGUGAAUCUGGGGAAAAGCCACAGUCUUUUCUGAUUGUCCCAUCUGCACCCAAACAUCAUCUCCUGUGCCUCUCAUUGGGUUCUAGCCACAUUGACUUUCUGUUCUUUGUGUAUACAGUGUACAUGCCUACCUCAGGGCCUUUGCACUUGUGGUUCCUCUGCAUUCCAAGCAGAGGAACCCCUCCCCUCAAUGUCUCCAUGGUUUGCUCCUCACCUUCUUCAGGUUUCACUCUUAUAUUACCUUCUUGGAGCAGCUUUUACUAACUACCAAAUUAAAAAUUACAGAACAUACCAAGGGCCCAGAUCUUACUUUCUCAUAUUCUCCAGUAAAAGGAACCAGGGACUCUUGAGAAAUGGCUGAUUCUAGGACUGAAGGUGGAGAUACACAAGAUGAGCCCAGAGCAUCUUGUAAUGCCAGGAAGUAAGGAAAUGCUAAAUAAAUAAACAAAUAAAUAAAUUAAGGAGGGAUGUAGGACCCAGAUGAAAGAGGUCCCAAAAGGCAAAGCUAGAAGAAAUGGAGCAAAAAAUGGCAUAUUAUUGGAUUAUAAUCUAAAUGUAAAAUAAACAUCCAUGAGUCCAUUAUACAUAAGUGAUUGGAUCAAUUAAUAAAUGGGCAAGAGAUAAAUCUCCUGUGCAAAAGAAUUCCAAAUCAUUUAUGUAGAUACAUCACCCAAAAUGGGGGAGCAUGAUUCCUGCUCCUUAAGGGUGGGCUGCCCACAGCAACUUCCUUCCCGAGAGGACAGCAUAGAAAGGGGGAGGCGGGGGAGAAACUUUGCAGUGGGGAAACCUGGCGAACUCCCGGUCAGCGCCAGGAACUACCAGUCAUGUUGCUAGUAUGUACCCUUG